CACACACUACAGCUUCCAUCCUCUCACUGCCUACUUGGCAGUGAACUAUCUCAAUCGUUUCCUCUCACUGUCUGAGUGUCUGAGCUACCGGAACAAGGACUGGAUGACGCAACUCCUCUCGGUGGCGUGUGUUUUGCACUUUCGCUUUCGCUGGCUGCCAAGAUGGAGGAAAUCGCCGUCCUGCAAUCUCUGGACCUUUAGGUGGGAGAUUUAAGGAUGCAAAUAGCUUCAUGAACAAGUGGCAGAAGCUCUAAGGAUGCAAAUAGAGGUUCAGAAACAGCUUCAUGAACAAUUAGAGGUGCAAAGGCAGUUGCAGCUACGGA